rnacentral:rRNA from 1 species
ACGAACGCUGGCGGCGUGCUUAACACAUGCAAGUCGAACGAUGAUCUCCCGCUUGCGGGGGUGAUUAGUGGCGAACGGGUGAGUAAUACGUGAGUAACCUGCCCUUGACUCUGGGAUAAGCCUGGGAAACCGGGUCUAAUACUGGAUACUACUCCCUGCCGCAUGGUGGGGGGUGGAAAGGGUUUUACUGGUUUUGGAUGGGCUCACGGGCUAUCAGCUUGUUGGUGGAGUAAUGGCUUACCAAGGGGACGGCGGGUAGCCGAACCGAGAGGGUGACCGGCCACCCAAGGACUGACACCAGGGCCAGUCUGCCACGGGGGGGGACCGGGGGGAAUAUUGCACCAAUGGCGGAAGGCUGAUACAGUAGGGCCGCCAUCGGGAUUACGGUCUUCGGGUUGAAAACCUCCUUCAGCAGGGAAGAAGCCACAAGUGACGGUACCUGCAGAAGAAGCGCCGGCUAACUACGUG